rfam:Sphingobacteriales bacterium 44-61 SCNpilot_expt_1000_bf_scaffold_77, whole genome shotgun sequence.
GAGGGUGGGCCCCUCGAAAUCGCCCUACAGGGGGAGGUUUCAAACCAGCGUAUGCGGCUUUAGUUAAGAGCUUUGGUCGUGAGCGAUACGUGAAAAGUCGGACUAGAUUCCGGCAGGU